rnacentral:rRNA from 1 species
GAUGAACGCUGGCGGCGUGCUUAACACAUGCAAGUCGAACGAAAAUUCUUCGAGCUUUUUCCUCGGACUUUUCCCGCACACGGAAAGUAACCAAGUGGUUAGUAUCCCUUUAGGAAUCUGCUUUUUACAAAGGGAUAGCCCUGGUAAACCAGGAUUUAUUCAUCCUCAAACUUAACUCUUGCAAGAGAGUUUUGCUGAAGCUUUUACGUUGUUGGAUGCUAGCGUGUCUGAUUAGUAAGUUGGUGGGUUAACAGCAUACCAAUGCAACGAUGACUAGCCGGAUUGAGAGGUAGAACGGCCACACUGGAGCUGAGACACGGUCCAGACUCCUACGGGAGGCAGCAGUGGGGAAUUUUGCACAAUGGAGGAAGCUAUGAUGCAGCGACGCCGCGUGAGUGAUGAAGGUCUUCGGAUUGUAAAACUCUGUCCUUAGUGAAGAUAAUGACAGUAACUAAGAAGAAAGCCCUGGCUAAAUACGUG